rnacentral:rRNA from 1 species
UACGGGGGGGGCAAGCGUUGUUCGGAAUUAUUGGGCGUAAAGGGCUCGUAGGCGGUCUGUCGCGUCGGGAGUGAAAACUCAGGGCUUAACCCUGAGCCUGCUUCCGAUACGGGCAGACUAGAGGUAUGCAGGGGAGAACGGAAUUCCUGGUGUAGCGGUGAAAUGCGCAGAUAUCAGGAGGAACACCGGUGGCGAAGGCGGUUCUCUGGGCAUUACCUGACGCUGAGGAGCGAAAGUGUGGGGAGCGAACAGG